UACGUAGGGUGCGAGCGUUGUCCGGAAUUAUUGGGCGUAAAGAGCUCGUAGGCGGUUUGUCGCGUCGGGAGUGAAAACACGGGGCUUAACCCCGUGCCUGCUUCCGAUACGGGCAUCACUGGAGUUCGGCAGGGGAGACUGGAAUUCCUGGUGUAGCGGUGAAAUGCGCAGAUAUCAGGAGGAACACCGGUGGCGAAGGCGGGUCUCUGGGCCGAUACUGACGCUGAGGAGCGAAAGCGUGGGGAGCAAACAGG
rnacentral:rRNA from 1 species